UGGUAGAUUGUAGGUACCUAUUUAGGUUGUAAGGUCUAGUUAGUAGGUUAUAAGCUGGACGGUGCCAUGGAGGCCACUUUCUCAGAGAGGCGACACCUCAUCGUCAAGAGGAAAAUCCCGAUGGCCACCAUCCGUCGUCGAUGAAAACAAAGUCUGGAAAGAGCUGAGUCGGAUAAAAAAUGCCGACUUG